rnacentral:tRNA from 1 species
AAGGGUAUAGCUCAGUGGUAGGGUGCGUGCCUAGCAUGCAUGAGGUCCUGGGUUCAAUCCCCAGUACCUCCU